AAGUGCAAAAGGUCGAAGAUGAAUAUACGCAGAGC
rnacentral:sRNA from 1 species